AUACGUAGGGAGCAAGCGUUGUCCGGAAUUACUGGGUGUAAAGGGAGCGUUAGGCGGGAAGGCAAGUUGAAUGUUUAAUCUAUGGGCUCAACCCAUAUCAGCGUUCAAAACUGCUUUUCUUGAGUGAAGUAGAGGUUGGCGGAAUUCCUAGUGUAGCGGUGAAAUGCGUAGAUAUUAGGAGGAACACCAGUGGCGAAGGCGGCCAACUGGGCUUUUACUGACGCUGAGGCUCGAAAGCGUGGGGAGC
rnacentral:rRNA from 1 species